CACUGCUAUCGGAGUCUGAUUAAGGCAUGCAAGUCGAAUGCUACACUUUUGUGGCAUGGCGAACGGCUGAGUAACACGUGAACAACCUGCCCUAGAGAAGGGGAUAAUCUCGGGAAACUGAGAAUAAUACCCUAUAGCAAAUAGGAUCUGGAAUGACCUAUUUGCUAAAAGAAUGUAGGGAAUAGCCUGCAUUCGCUCUAGGAUGGGUUCGCGGGGGAUUAUGGUAGUUGGUGAGGUAACGGCUCACCAAGCCUAUUAUCCCUAAGAGCUAUGAAAGUAGGAGCUCUCAGAAGGGCACUGAGACAAGGGCCCUAGCCCUACGGGGUGCAGCAGCCGCUAAUCCUCUGCAAUGCGCGAAAGCGUGACAGGGAGACUCCGAGUGGUAUGGGUCAAACCCAUACCUUUUCCCAAGUGUAAAAAGCUUGGGGAAUAAGGGUGUGGGCAAGACCGGUGGCAGCCGCCGCGGUAACACCGGCGCCUCAAGUGGUGCUCACGUUUAUUGGGCUUAAAGCGCCUGUAGCUGGCUAAAUGUGUGCACUGUGAAAUGUUAGGGCUCAACCUUAACGCUUGCAGUGUAUACUAUUUAGCUAGAGAGCGGGGGAGAUAGAGGGUACAUCCGGGCUAGCGGUAAAAUGCGUUGAACCUGGAUGGACCACCAGUGGCGAAGGCGUUCUAUCAAAACGCGCCUGACAGUGAGAGGCAAAGGCUAGGGGAGCAAAAGGGAUUAGAUACCCCUGUAGUCCUAGCUGUAAAUGAUGCCUUCUAUUCUUUACCAUAGCUCUGUGCUAUGGUAGAGAGCACAGCGAAAGCGUUAAGAAGGCCACCUGGGGAGUACGGCCGCAAGGCUAAAACUUAAAGGAAUUGGCGGGGGAGUACCACAAGGGGUGGAUGCUACGGUUUAAUCGGAUACAACGCCGAAAACCUCACCUGAAGAGACAGCGGGAUGAAGAUGUAGCUGAAGACUACAUCCAACUAGCUGAGAGGUGCUGCAUGGCCAUCGUCAGCUCGUGGUGCAAACUGUCCGGUUAAGUCCGGCAACGAGCGAGACCCAUGCCCUUAGUUGCUACUCCUAUCUUCGGAUAGGAAGCACUCUAAGGGGACUGCCCGCGUUUAAGUGGGAGGAAGGAGUGGGCGAUGGUAGGUCCGUAUGGCCCGAAUCUUCAGGGCUACACGCGGCAUACAAUGCGCAGGACAACGGGCCGCAACUCCGAAAGGAGAAGCCAAUCCCUAAAUCUGCGCUCAGUUCGGAUCGAGGGUUGCAACUCACCCUCGUGAAGCUGGAAUCCCUAGUAAUCGCAGGUUAUCAUCCUGCGGUGAAUAUGUCCCUGCUCCUUGCACACACCGCCCGUCAAGUCAGCCAAGCUCUGCUGAGGUGAGGGUCCAAAAGAUUCGAACCUUGGCAGGGUGAGGGGGGCU
rnacentral:rRNA from 1 species